rnacentral:sRNA from 1 species
ACUUAACAACCGAAGUAACCCGCAAUGCGGAAGGGCGAGGGGAUUGCGAGUCACCGAGUUUCCCGCGCGGCUUGAGUCCUGGCCUAGAAAGAAAGAUGUUGAGGUUCCCAGGACCAGGACAGAGGUGGUGGUGAACUCUCAUGGGCAUCCAGAGAAGGUCAGGCCCCUUGCUGACAGGCCUAUCUGUGGGGCUACUGCUGCUCUUCAGCUGGGUGACCCUUGUCCAGCCAACCUCUCUCUCAGAGGAAGCCUACUGCUGCCACCUGCAGGCGGCAGGGGGCUCCUGCUGCACCCGGGCUGAAUUUGAGGCCCUGUACCAAGUCAAUCUGUCCGCCCUUCCGCCCCCGCCCAUCCUCAGGGGCCUAGGCCCGCUCCUAGUGCUGGGCCUCUACAACCUACUGGUUGUGACCCUGAUGACCGUAGACCUCGUGCACUUCUGCUGCGGUCGGGGCCGGAGUCGGGGCUGGAGCCACCGCAGGCCUCCCUCUGGGUCCUCCGCCGCGAGCUCCCUGCAGGUCUCUGCGGGGACAGCUUAG